rnacentral:lncRNA from 1 species
CUGGUCGUCUUUUUCUUUUAGGGCUGUUUUUUAGCAGCCAAAGCAGCUGUAGGUCUCCUUGUGAAGCAACCACAAAAUGACGUGUUACUGCGGAUGAUGCAUCUUAGAAACAAUAUAACUGCUCCUAGGCUUAAUCAACUUAUUGCUAAACAGCAGUAAUUUUUUUUUGUUUCAAGCCUAAGAAGCGUAACCUUUUCUUUUUCUUUCUUGUUGUGGAAAUCCGGAUGGCCACGGGUUGACUGCGAGGGCAACGCAGUUCCUCAAGUCCUUUCCCGGUGUUGUUAUCGUUGCGACACAGGCAGGCAGGGAAAGGCCUGGGACAUCCGGAGUUUCUGCAAAUAAAAAGGCAGGAUGCUUCCACCGGCGAGCAUCAACGAGAGACAGUGACCACCCCAGCUCUGAACAACCGCAUCGUGAGAAAAGCCCCAUUAUGAUCAGCACAAAGGUCCUCCUAGUCGGCCUCCUCGUCCUGGCUCUUGUCUUCACCAUCGCCGUGGCUCAACGUGGAGGUUACGGCCGCGGAUUCGGCGGGGGACGCGGAUUCGGCGGUGGUGGACGUGGAUUCGGCGGUGGACGUGGUUUUGGUGGUGGACGCGGAUUUGGAGGAGGACGUGGAUUUGGAGGCGGUCAUGGCGGAUACAGAGGAUAAAUGCUCCAUUCCACGUAACAUCUCCCGAUGAGGGACCGACGUAAGGUGCAGUCCGGCGGCGCUUGUUACAGGCUAGAGGGCUGCACUCCCGCGGAAUGCAUUCCUUUCGAAA